AGUCCCUGAUUUCCAUAUUCUGUCAGAUUUGCAUUUACAUACCUCUCAUUUCCACUAUCCACAAGAUCCAUUGGAAUUAGAAAUCAGAAGUAAGAAAGUAGCAACCAGAAAUCAAAAACCGAAAAUGAGAAGUAGCAACUAGAAACCAGAUUAUUAAGUAGCAAUAGUAAAUAACAAAUUGUAACGCCCGUGUUUCCAGGAUAAGCAUUAUCAUUGAUGUAAUAGUCUAGGUUAACCUUUGUAACCCGUUUUCAAAUAAUAAAGGUGUAUUAUUUGAGUAUUAUGUGUUUUGUGCUUAAUUGCUUAAUUAUGUGGUUUGAUUAAUUAAGAAUAAAAAUAAGCGUCAUAAUUUAAGUGUAAAAUAAACUUGAUAUCUUUGGAUAAUGUUAUAGUAGUUGAAACGAGGUUUCCGAAUAUAUAGAGAACGCCCAAAUCUGACUCCGUAUGAGGAAGUUAUGAUUUUCUGAAGUUUCGACUUAGCGGUAUGCAGCCCGAAAUACUCGAUUUGAGACCGAGUGGUUUUUAGCCGAAACAAUCUAAAUGAGAAUUGAAGAUCUCAUUAAUUGUAGUAAAACGAUAAAAAGUUAGGCGAGAACGGACGUCAAAUGAAGAAGUUAUGAAUUUAUAACGAAGUUUUCCUCUCCGGGCCUACUAAAAAUAAAUAAUAAAAAAUAAAGUCAAAAUUAGCCGACGAAGUCUAAACGAAAGUUGUAGAGCGUAGUCUCACCUACGCGUGGAUAUAAAGAACGUCGAAAACGGAGUUCGUAUGAAGAAGAUAUGAAUUUCCGAAGUUUAUUAAAUAAUUUGUAUUUAAAUUUAAUCUUUAAUUCGGAUGUAUAUCCAAAGGAGUCACCGAUCUGAUCCGAAGUACGCCCAGCGUACCGCGAAGCAUGACGCGCCUCGCACUCGAGUUCUUCCGAUGAUGCAUGCAGUGACGAAUUCGGACGCGUACGCCCCGCGUAAGGCAGUACGCCCAGUGUACUGCGAGGCCUCAGCCUCCUAUAAAUAGGAUGCGAGGGUUCCGGGUAUUUUUGCUCAUUUCUUCUCCUUUUUGUGUCGAAGCUCUACGCAUAAACCCCCAAAGCCAUCCCGACACCCCGGAUCUCAUAUCCAAGUUAAGAAGGAAGUUUUACGCUCCCGAGAUCCCGAGAAGUGUGAUUCCCGAGCCGAAGCUCUGCCCGCGAGGAGUUCGAUUUUUGUGGAGAUCUUCCAGAUCUGCCGAAGAAUACUACUUCUAUAAGCCGUAGUGCUGUCCGAUCAUCUUCUGAUCAAGUGAGUGUGUAGUUACUUUCUUCUAACGCAUAAUUAUGAAGUAUUUUAUACGAAAUACGUGUUAUGUGUAUAUUUUGUUGUUAUGUGUGUGAAUGUAUAUUCACUUUCUUCUAUCUUAUAGAUCUGAUUAUUUCUCUAUGAAAUACGUGUUAUGUGUGUGUGCCUCAUCUGUUAUGUGGAAAAUGUAUUGAUUGAGCAUGCUAUACAGGUUUUGAAACUAUGUAUAAAAAUGUAUAUUUUAUCUACUAAUAUGUUGGGUAGAACAUGGGUAGAUAGUUGGUGUGUAAUAAACAGAUGAGAGGCCUCGUUGUUGUUUGAUUUAGUCAUCUAGCGGAGUUUAGAUGACGACCACUGGCUAUUCUAGACAGUCUUGUGGAAACAUUAGCAGGUUCGCCACCUGUAGGUGUUAAUGAACUUGGGUGUUCAUUCGCUGUACUCCAUCCCCCUCAUGGUUGCCUUAUUUGACUUAUAUUGCUGAGGUACCCCCGAAGCAUGUGUUGUCGCCCCGAUGAAAUAUUCUUAGACUAGGUCCCUUAUGUUAGUUGUCUUAGGGACGUAAAGUGAGAAUGACGGGAAUGGGUAAUUGGGUUCUUGUUGGUUGGUGGAAAUUAAAUAUAAUUAUUUAUUGUGGGUUGAAAACCCUAUAUGCUCACCAGGCUCCUAAGCCUGACCCACUCAGUUUAUUUGUAUUACAGGAAGUGGCGCAAGGGCAUAAGAUGGAUGAACCAUCAAGUUGUUUUGUUUACAAGUCUGUAUAUGUAUAUAUUUGUUGAAUGACUUGUAAUGUUAUCGUUUAUGCUUUAUGGUCUGUAUCGGAACAUGACAUCCCGAGUUUUGAUUAUAUAAUGAAAAUACAUUUCUUUUAUGAAAUGCUUUGGUAAACAUUGUUUUAUCACAUUUUGUUUUUGGGAACAAAUUCUGCAACUCUUUCAAAUCAAAAGGAUUUACUCUGAAAUUAUUUUAAAAGCAUAAAUGAAAAUCGGUCUUUUCUGGCCGAGAUUUUGGGGAUGUCACACAAAUGAGAAGUAUAGAUUACCACAGGUGGAGCGUGGAUAUGAAAUUAGGUCGUCGUUUGUGAAGAUGAAAUCAGGUCGUCGAUUCAGUGAAGCAACAUCGGCAGGAAGAAGUCGUUCGUUGACCUCGUUUCAGUUCGAAGUGAUCAAUGGAUUCGAUCGAAAGAUCGUUUCUAGAUCUAAUGAAUUGAUAGAACAACGAAGGUAGGAUUUG
rnacentral:lncRNA from 1 species